rnacentral:rRNA from 1 species
UACGUAGGCAGCGAGCGUUGUUCGGAGUUACUGGGCGUAAAGGGUGUGUAGGCGGUUGUUUAAGUUUGGUGUGAAAUCUCCCGGCUCAACUGGGAGGGUGCGCCGAAUACUGAAUGACUUCGAGUGCGGGAGAGGAGAGUGGAAUUCCUGGUGUAGCGGUGAAAUGCGUAGAUAUCAGGAGGAACACCGGUGGUGUAGACGGCUCUCUGGACCGUAACUGACGCUGAGACACGAAAGCGUGGGUAGCGAACAGG